CUGAAAUCGGUCUUGUGAGGUUAAAAUCAAGAUGUUGGCAGAACUGGAUCUUUUUGGAGGUUCCAGGACCUUGCUCUAUCGCCCUGGCUGUAGUGCAGUGGCAGGAACAUGGCUCACUGCAGCAUCGACCUCCUGGGCUCAAAGUGAUCCUCCCAUCUAAGCCACCUGAUUAUCUGGGACUAUAGACCAGAACACGUUAGGAAACAUAUUCCACUAUUCAAAGGAUAAGGCUCUUCUUUCAAAUUGUGUACUGAAGAUAUUUAAUUAGAAAAAGACUCAGUAGUAUGCCUGGUAAGUCAAAGAUUAUGUUAAAAUAUAAGCUCAUGACUACUUGAGCUUUUCUUUCCUUUUUCUCAUUGGCUUUCACCUAUGCAAUGCCUUUCUUUGCUUCCGAUAAAGCUUCCAAUAAUUUUUCUGACCUUCAUUCUACUUGUAUGAUUUGACUUCAUGAUAAUAAGUUUAACUUCCUAUUUAUAUCUUGCCAUUUUUUUUGAACACUGAAAAGCCUCAAAAAAUUGCCUGUGAAAUCAUACUCUUUGGCAACAAGUUUGUUUAUAUUGCAGGAAAAAGAACAUUAGGAGAGAUGAAAUUUAAGGGCAUGAAAAGAAAACAGCAUGCUACUGCUUUAGGUGUAUCAGGCCUCACCCUAACUCAAUUUGGGUUUAGAAGGAUAUUUGCAUGUGAUCAAAUAAUUUUUAGUUUUUAAUUAUUAAUUAUGGAAUUGGUGAAGAUGCUAUAUGUUUCAUGCUUAAAUAUAUGAUAGAAAAUGCCAAAUGGAAUUUGUAUAAGGGAAUAUAUGGGAGCUUUAAGUUGAAGCAAGAGUUAAUUUGGGAGCAAAGAUGUUUGGUACAAUGUUAUCACUUUAUCCUGGUUGGUGAAAGGGGGGAUGGUUCUCAUACAAACACCUGUCAUACAUGAUCAUGUGCCAGAAUAGAGUGAUGGUGAGGAACUGAGUAAUCUUUCCUUUUUUCUGUUUACUCAGUUAGAUUGCAUUAAACUUAGACUGAACUUAAAUAUUUUUGAUUAAUGAGAGGAGCCUGGUGGUUAAAAUAAAACACUCAAAACUCCAAACAAAUGCUUUUUUUUUUUUUUUUUUUGCCUUCAAAUACCAGCUUGGUGGAGGAGUUGUCUUUGGAGAAUAGCACUGGCUGAGUGUAUCUCAGUCCUGGACUCACAUUCAGCUAGCUUAUAUCUAGAUAUAGAUAUAGAGGAAAAGUUAUAUCUAGAUAUAGAUAUGGAGGAAAAUAUUUCAAGAAGGAAUGGUGAGCAAAACAGCUCACUGUUGAUUACUGUUGAAAACUCAAGAAUGAUGAAACUGAAAAGUGUCUACUGGGUUUAGCAAUGUGGAGUGCACUGAUUACUUUACUGAACGUUUGAUAUGAAGGAGUGCCUGGAAAUAGAACUCAGAUUUCUAAAAAGGGUGAAAGUGAUUACGAAAGGGAAGGAGGAAAUGUAAACCACGCUCUUGAGAAAUUUUGCUAUGAAGAGUAGGUCAGUAGCCAGAGGGGAUUGAAGGCAGGUUUUAAAGAUGAGAGUGAAUUGAGACUGUUUAUGAUACUGAUGGAAAAAUGGAGCAAGGGGAGAAAACAAUAAGUAACUAAGGGAUGAUUUCUGGUAAGACAGCAGAGGAUGGGCUCCAGUGCAUGGAUUAGAUACUGGCCUUAGAUAAAAGGAGAGGCAUCUUUCUUAUUUUAUAGGUGAUGAAGAGGAAAGAAUGGGCAUGGAUAAAAACAGGUUUCUAGAUUCCGUAUGGGGAGUUGGAGUAACUGUCUCAUGGCUUGAACUUUCCUUGCUAGGUAGGAGCUAUGAUCAUGUGCUGAUAAUAAAAUGGCAGAUCUAGGAUGAAUUAUGGGGGAAGUUGGAGAUUUGAAUACAGUAAGGAAAAUUAGAAACGAUUGACUAGAGAAACACCUUGGCAGGCAAGGCUCAGUGAAGGCUGUUGGUUUAUUCCUUAUGUACAAUUCUGUCUUGCUUUCUAGGAUGCUCAGGUUUGAAAGUUAAGAGAUAAUGCUUUCCCACACUUAUUUAGACACCAUAUGAACAUUUUCUUUAAAGUAUUCACAAUAUUACCCUUAUUUAAUAAAACAUGAAAUCCUAGUUAUAAAGAUUCCUGGUAAACUUUUCUAGUCUUAUAUUUUAAACUAUUGAAACUAUGUCCCUUCGGCCAGGCACUGUGACUCACACCUCUAAUCCCAGCACUUUGGGAGGCCGAGGGGGGCGGAUCACGAGGUCAGGAGUUUGAGACCGGCCUGACCAAUAUGGUGUAACCCUGUCUCUACUAAAAAUACAAAAAUUAGCUGGGCGUGGUGGCACACACCUGUAGUCCCAGCUACUUGGGAGGCUGAGACAGAAGAAUCGCUUGAACCAGGGAGGCCGAGAUUGCAGUGAGCCGAGAUCAUGCCACUACACUCCAGCCUGGGUGACAGAGCAAGACUCUGUC